GAUGAACGCUGGCGGCGUGCCUAAUACAUGCCAGUCGAGCGAACAGACGAGGAGCUUGCUCCUCUGACGUUAGCGGCGGACGGGUGAGUAACACGUGGAUAACCUACCUAUAAGACUGGGAUAACUUCGGGAAACCGGAGCUAAUACCGGAUAAUAUAUUGAACCGCAUGGUGCAAUAGUGAAAGACGGUUUUGCUGGCACUUAUAGAUGGAUCCGCGCCGCAUUAGCUAGUUGGUAAGGUAACGGCUUACCAAGGCAACGAUGCGUAGACGACCUGAGAGGGUGAUCGGCCACACUGGAACUGAGACACGGACAAGACUACUACGGGAGGCAGCAGUAGGGAAUCUUACGCAAUGGGCGAAAGCCUGACGGAGCAACGCCGCGUGAGUGAUGAAGGUCUUCGGAUCGUAAAACUCUGUUAUUAGGGAAGAACAAAUGUGUAAGUAACUAUGCACGUAUUGACGGUACCUAAUCAGAAAGCCACGGCUAACUACGUG
rnacentral:rRNA from 1 species